AUAUGCCCAACCCUCUGUUCUGAACUAGUCAUCGAAUUAAUGAAUGAACUGAGCUGCUCCAGCUCCUUCGUUCUCGGUCAAUCCCUUUGCCAUUUCCUAUCUCUAUCCUGUGAUUCUUUAGCUACUGCUCGGGACAUCACAGGUCGGGGAUGCUAGGGAUGCGGGCGAGCACCGCGGCAGCAUCUCUACGGCGGAUGGGCACGGAGCCACGGACGCGCACCUCUACGGCGACCCGAACGACGCCGCCAUCCCGACGCUCCUCCGCUCCCGCUUCCACGCGCUCAAGCACCCCCUCGCCCUCAUCUCUCAGGGCGUCGACGUCGCCCACCUCUCCCCGCAGGCAGUCAAGAACGUGGCGGCGAGGUCGCUGAAGCUGAAGAAG
rnacentral:rRNA from 1 species